GACGAACGCUGGCGGCGUGCUUAACACAUGCAAGUCGAGCGGAAAGGCCCUGCUUUUGUGGGUUGCUCGAGUGGCGAACGGGUGAGUAACACGUGAGUAACCUGCCCUUGACUGUGGGGUAACUUCAGGAAACUGGGGCUAAUACCGGAUAGGAGCUCCUGCUGCAUGGUGGGGGUUGGUAAGUUUCGGCGGUUGGGGCUGGACUCGCGGCUUAUCGGCUUGUUGGUGUAGUAGUGGCUUACCAAGGCUUUGACGGGUAGCCGGCCUGAGAGGGUGACCGGCCACAUGGGGACUGAGAGACGGCGCAGACGCCUACGGGAGGCAGCAGUGGAGAGUAUUGCACAGUGGGCGGAAGCGUGAUGCAGCAACGCCGCGUUCGGGAUGACGGCCUUCUGGUUGUAAACCGCUUUCGACUGUGACGAAGCGUGAGUGACGGUAAUGGGUAAAGAAGCACCGGCUAACUACGUG
rnacentral:rRNA from 1 species